UACAGAGGGUGCAAGCGUUAAUCGGAAUCACUGGGCGUAAAGGGCGCGUAGGCGGCUUUGUAAGUCGGGGGUGAAAGCCUGUGGCUCAACCACAGAAUUGCCUUCGAUACUGCAUGGCUUGAGACCGGAAGAGGUAAGUGGAACUGCGAGUGUAGAGGUGAAAUUCGUAGAUAUUCGCAAGAACACCGGUGGCGAAGGCGGCUAUCUGGACCGACAUUGACGCUGAGGCGCGAAAGCGUGGGGAGCAAACAGG
rnacentral:rRNA from 1 species